AAAGAACCCCGGCGAGGGGAGUGAAAAAGAACCUGAAACCGUGUACGUACAAGCAGUGGGAGCACAGGUUUACCUGUGUGACUGCGUACCUUUUGUAUAAUGGGUCAGCGACUUAUAUUCUGUAGCAAGGUUAACCGUAUAGGGGAGCCGUAGGGAAACCGAGUCUUAACCGGGCGUUAAGUUGCAGGGUAUAGACCCGAAACCCGGUGAUCUAGCCAUGGGCAGGUUGAAGGUUGGGUAACACUAACUGGAGGACCGAACCGACUAAUGUUGAAAAAUUAGCGGAUGACCUGUGGCUGGGGGUGAAAGGCCAAUCAAACCGGGAGAUAGCUGGUUCUCCCCGAAAGCUAUUUAGGUAGCGCCUCGUGAAUUCAUCUCCGGGGGUAGAGCACUGUUUCGGCUAGGGGGCCAUCCCGGCUUACCAACCCGAUGCAAACUGCGAAUACCGGAGAAUGUUAUCACGGGAGACACACGGCGGGUGCUAACGUCCGUCGUGAAGAGGGAAACAACCCAGACCGCCAGCUAAGGUCCCAAAGUCAUGGUUAAGUGGGAAACGAUGUGGGAAGGCCCAGACAGCCAGGAUGUUGGCUUAGAAGCAGCCAUCAUUUAAAGAAAGCGUAAUAGCUCACUGGUCGAGUCGGCCUGCGCGGAAGAUGUAACGGGGCUAAACCAUGCACCGAAGCUGCGGCAGCGAACGUAUCACCCAAGACAACUUUACGGAGUUGACGAUUGACGGAGCGAAGCGACGUCAAAGCGUUCAUUAAAGUCGAGUUGGCUUAGGGAUACGUUCGUUGGGUAGGGGAGCGUUCUGUAAGCCUGUGAAGGUGUGUCGUGAGGCAUGCUGGAGGUAUCAGAAGUGCGAAUGCUGACAUAAGUAACGAUAAAGCGGGUGAAAAGCCCGCUCGCCGGAAGACCAAGGGUUCCUGUCCAACGUUAAUCGGGGCAGGGUGAGUCGACCCCUAAGGCGAGGCCGAAAGGCGUAGUCGAUGGGAAACGGGUUAAUAUUCCCGUACUUGGUGUUACUGCGAAGGGGGGACGGAGAAGGCUAUGUUGGCCGGGCGACGGUUGUCCCGGUUUAAGCGUGUAGGUGUGUGUUCCAGGUAAAUCCGGUUCACUUUAACACUGAGGCGUGACGACGAGGCACUACGGUGCUGAAGCAACAAAUGCCCUGCUUCCAGGAAAAGCCUCUAAGCAUCAGGUAACACGAAAUCGUACCCCAAACCGACACAGGUGGUCAGGUAGAGAAUACCAAGGCGCUUGAGAGAACUCGGGUGAAGGAACUAGGCAAAAUGGUGCCGUAACUUCGGGAGAAGGCACGCUGACACGUAGGUGAAGUGAUUUACUCAUGGAGCUGAAGUCAGUCGAAGAUACCAGCUGGCUGCAACUGUUUAUUAAAAACACAGCACUGUGCAAACACGAAAGUGGACGUAUACGGUGUGACGCCUGCCCGGUGCCGGAA
rnacentral:rRNA from 1 species